rnacentral:rRNA from 1 species
AUUGAACGCUGGCGGCAGGCCUAACACAUGCAAGUUGAACGGUAACAGGAAGAAGCUUGCUUCUUUGCUGACGAGUGGCGGACGGGUGAGUAAUGUCUGGGAAACUGCCUGAUGGAGGGGGAUAACUACUGGAAACGGUAGCUAAUACCGCAUAACGUCGCAAGACCAAAGAGGGGGACCUUCGGGCCUCUUGCCAUCGGAUGUGCCCAGAUGGGAUUAGCUAGUAGGUGGGGUAACGGCUCACCUAGGCGACGAUCCCUAGCUGGUCUGAGAGGAUGACCAGCCACACUGGAACUGAGACACGGUCCAGGCUCCUACGGGAGGCAGCAGUGGGGAAUAUUGCACAAUGGGCGCAAGCCUGAUGCAGCCAUGCCGCGUGUAUGAAGAAGGCCUUCGGGUUGUAAAGUACUUUCAGCGGGGAGGAAGGGAGUAAAGUUAAUACCUUUACUCAUUGACGUUACCCGCAGAAGAAGCACCGGCUAACUCCGUG